rnacentral:rRNA from 1 species
GACGAACGCUGGCGGCGUGCCUAACACAUGCAAGUCGAGCGCGCAACCAUCGGUAGCAAUACCGGUGGUGGGCGAGCGGCGAACGGGUGCGUAACACGUGGGCAACCUGCCCCAGACUCUGGGAUAACCCCGGGAAACCGGGGCUAAUACCGGAUACUCUCGGCCGGCCGCAUGAUCGGCCGAGGAAAGCUCCGACGGUCUGGGAUGGGCCCGCGGCCUAUCAGCUUGUUGGUGGGGUAACGGCCUACCAAGGCGACGACGGGUAGCUGGUCUGGGAGGACGGGCAGCCACACUGGGACUGGGGUACGGCCCAGACUCCUACGGGAGGCAGCAGUGGGGAAUCUUGCGCAAUGGGCGAAAGCCUGACGCAACGACGCCGCGUGAGGGAUGAAGGCCUUCGGGUUGUAAACCUCUUUCGGCAGGGACGAAGCGAAAGUGACGGUACCUGCAGAAGAAGCCCCGGCUAACUACGUGCCAGCCGCCGCCGUAA